rnacentral:tRNA from 1 species
UAGGUGGAGCGGUGGUCUCCCGAUCAGGAAGUCCCCGGUUCGAUUCCCGGCACU